rnacentral:rRNA from 1 species
AUUGAACGCUGGCGGCAUGCCUUACACAUGCAAGUCGAACGGUAACAGGUUAAGCUGACGAGUGGCGAACGGGUGAGUAAUAUAUCGGAACGUGCCCAGUCGUGGGGGAUAACUGCUCGAAAGAGCAGCUAAUACCGCAUACGACCUGAAGGUGAAAGCGGGGGAUCGCAAGACAUCGCGCGAUUGGAGCGGCCGAGAUCAGAUUAGGUAGUUGGUGGGGUAAAGGCCCACCAAGCCAACGAUCUGUAGCUGGUCUGAGAGGACGACCAGCCACACUGGGACUGAGACACGGCCCAGACUCCUACGGGAGACAGCAGUGGGGAAUUUUGGACAAUGGGCGCAAGCCUGAUCCAGCCAUGCCGCGUGCGGGAAGAAGGCCUUCGGGUUGUAAACCGCUUUUGUCAGGGAAGAAAAGGUUCUGGUUAAUACCUGGGACUCAUGACGGUACCUGAAGAAUAAGCACCGGCUAACUACGUGCCAGCAGCCGCCGUAAUAC